rnacentral:tRNA from 1 species
CCUUGUAUAUCUAAGUCUAAGUGCCAGGUUCUUACCCUGGUGAUGUGUGUUACACUGCAGGGU